rnacentral:rRNA from 1 species
UACGUAGGGUGCAAGCGUUGUCCGGAAUUAUUGGGCGUAAAGAGCUCGUAGGCGGUCUGUCGCGUCGAAUGUGAAAACCCGGGGCUCAACCCCGGGCCUGCAUUCGAUACGGGCAGACUAGAGUUCGGUGGGGGAGACUGGAAUUCCUGGUGUAGCGGUGAAAUGCGCAGAUAUCAGGAGGAACACCGGUGGCGAAGGCGGGUCUCUGGGCCGAUACUGACGCUGAGGAGCGAAAGCGUGGGGAGCGAACAGG